UAAAAGCAUCAUAAGCCACAAUGGAAAAAUGAUUGCGGUAAAAAAAGAAUAUUAAAAGUCUCCGAAUUUGCAGAUGAAACUCUAUGCUCUAUAGCAUAUCAGUUUCUUGAAAGCAAGAAUUCUCUCAGUUUUAGGUAAGAGAAUGAAUGCAAUAGCAAGAGAUUAGUAGAUAUCUUUCUUUCGUUAUUACAAAUGCACCAACUAGCCCCUUGAAUCUUCAAGUUGCAGAGUUUCAAGGAAUCGACGAGAUAAAGGUAUUAUAAGAUGAUUUGUGGUGAUUGUGCUCUUCAUUGAGUAUUCCCGGUGGCUACAUAAUGCUUAACAUUUUUUGAAGUCUAUCUAUGAAUGCGGGUAGCCUGGCCCUUUGAGUGAUUUUAACAGUAUUUGCUUUUGGUUUCCUUCUUUAUUCUGGCUAUGUUCUAGAGGGCGGCAUUGGCAAGGUGGAGGUGAUUCUUAAGGUUGGUUGCCGGAGGGAUAUUUAGAAUGCUUCUUUUUAUCGAAGGUUAUCUUGCUAACGUAGGGAUGUUGGAGUAAAUGUAGGCACCAAAAUUCUUAGUCUGUUAUGUGUAUAAUUCAGGCUAUACGAGCAUGGUGCAAUAUCAAUAUCUUUCUUAGUCUUGUUCACUAGUCUUUUUCAUGACGAAUUGAGCAAGAACUUAAAAGAACAGAUGUGCCUUCAUAUUAAUGUGCAUUCCAUAUUCUAGCA